UACAGAGGUGGCAGCGUUAAUCGGAAUUACUGGGCGUUAAAGGCGUGCGUAGACGGUUAUUAAGUCAGGUGUGAAGCCAGGGCUCAACCUUGGAAUUGCAUUUGAGACUGAAUAGCUAGGGUGCGGAAGAGGGAAGCGGAAGUUACCGGUGUGAGCGGUGAAAUGCGUAGAUAUCGGAAGGAACACCAGUGGCGAAAGCGGCUUCCUGGUCCAGCACCGACGUUC
rnacentral:rRNA from 1 species